rnacentral:rRNA from 1 species
UACGUAGGGUGCAAGCGUUGUCCGGAAUUAUUGGGCGUAAAGAGCUCGUAGGCGGUUUGUCGCGUCUGCUGUGAAAACGCGAGGCUCAACCUCGCGCCUGCAGUGGGUACGGGCAGACUAGAGUGCGGUAGGGGAGAUUGGAAUUCCUGGUGUAGCGGUGGAAUGCGCAGAUAUCAGGAAGAACACCCGUGGCGAAGGCGGCUCUCUGGAACGCAACUGACGCUGAGACGCGAAAGCGUGGGAGCAAACAGG